CGGCACGGGUGCGUAACGCGUGGGAAUCUGCCCUCUGGUACGGAAUAACUCAGGGAAACUUGAGCUAAUACCGUAUAAUGACUUCGGUCCAAAGAUUUAUCGCCUGAGGAUGAGCCCGCGUAGGAUUAGCUUGUUGGUGAGGUAAAAGCUCACCAAGGCGACGAUCCUUAGCUGGUCUGAGAGGAUGAUCAGCCACACUGGGACUGAGACACGGCCCAG
rnacentral:rRNA from 1 species